AGUUCCUUGCUCUCCAUUUCUUGGAAAAAUCAUGUUUGCAGUAGUAGCACUGAAGAAUUACUCAGAUCACCUUGUGAUUAUAAGUGAAGAGUGGAGACACAAAGAUAAACCGGAUAUGUGCUUUUACCCCAGUUCAAAGAAUGCAAAUGGUCUAGCAAAAAUUCACAAGCAACCCACAAGUGACUGGACACUGGAGCCGAUGGAAGUACUGCGUGAUAAUAUUGAAUCCUUUGGACUUGCUCAUAGGGCGAUGGUUAAAAUAUCCGAUGACAUAAGAUCCUCGGAGGAAGAGCAACCCCUAAAAAAGCGGCAGAUUCAGACACCAGCACGAUUCCUUUCAACGGAUGAAGAGGAACCUGCUAAAAAGCAGAAAGUCAAAGGAAAUUCGAAGGAAUCUGCGAAGAAAGUGAAACUGGGACCUGUGUGGCAGCCUCUAGCAAAGUCAACCCAAAUUACGAACCUUCCUAUUCCACCCGCUCCUUUUUCGGCCUUCAAAGCAAAAACCGGCAGCAUCAGUACUUUUACUCCUCCUAGCCCUGUAAAGCGUAAAAGUUCGUCACAAAAAAAUAACCCAAAAUUAAAUCCUCAAUUUCUAAAAAUUCGAACAAAACCUACAUCCACACUCUCCACGCCCUCCGAACUCCCCCUUUCUCUUGCAGAUUACUUUCACUCACCAGUAGAUUCCGAAAUGCACCUUCCCUCUCCAUCAAGCCAACAUCAUAACUAUGAAGU
rnacentral:lncRNA from 1 species